AUCCCUUUAGCUCAGUUGGUAGAGCAUGGUGUUUGCAACACCAGGCUUGUGGGUUCGAUUCCCACGGGGGGCC
rfam:Salmo salar isolate Sally breed double haploid chromosome ssa29, whole genome shotgun sequence.